rnacentral:rRNA from 1 species
UACAGAGGGGGCAAGCGUUGUUCGGAAUUACUGGGCGUAAAGGGCGCGUAGGCGGCCCGCUAAGUCGAACGUGAAAUCCCCGGGCUCAACCCGGGAACUGCGUCCGAUACUGGUGGGCUUGAAUCCGGGAGAGGGAUGCGGAAUUCCAGGUGUAGCGGUGAAAUGCGUAGAUAUCUGGAGGAACACCGGUGGCGAAGGCGGCAUCCUGGUCCAGCACCGACGUUCAGGCACGAAAGCGUGGGGAGCAAACAGG